AACGAACGCUGGCGGCAGGCCUAACACAUGCAAGUCGGGCGAAGCCUUCGGGCUUAGCGGCGGACGGGUGAGUAACGCGUGGGAACGUGCCCUUUGCUACGGAAUAGCCCCGGGAAACUGGGAGUAAUACCGUAUGUGCCCUUCGGGGGAAAGAUUUAUCGGCAAAGGAUCGGCCCGCGUUGGAUUAGGUAGUUGGUGGGGUAAUGGCCUACCAAGCCGACGAUCCAUAGCUGGUUUGAGAGGAUGAUCAGCCACACUGGGACUGAGACACGGCCCAGACUCCUGCGGGAGGCAGCAGUGGGGACUCUUAGACAAUGGGCGGAAGCCUGAUCUAGCCAUGCCGCGUGAUCGAUGCCGGCCUUAGGGUUGUAAAGAUCUUUCAGGUGGGAAGAUAAUGACUGUACCACCAGAAGAAGCCCCGGCUAACUCCGUGCCAGCCGCCGCGGUAA
rnacentral:rRNA from 1 species